rnacentral:misc_RNA from 1 species
AAAGUCGUAACAAGGUUUCCGUAGGUGAACCUGCGGAAGGAUCAUUGCAAAUCUGUAAGUGGGAGGCAGGUGGGGUGCAGUGGGAUCAAAACCACUGUACCCCACCAGCCGCCGACAUUUGGUCGGGACGCGAGUCUCGGAUCAUAUUCACGCUUGUGCCGUUUGACAGAGUAACAAUGUACAUGAUGAGACAACUUUUAACAAUGGAUCUCUUGGCUCUU